AUGCCCGAGAUGGAGGCGGAAGGAGCCGAUGUGGUUACGUGGCUGCGACACUUGCUUGCCGCGGCCGAUAGGUUUGAUCUCCAGCGGCUCAAGUCCAUGUGUGAAGAGAGGCUGUCGAAGCACAUAGAUUUGAGCUGGGUGACGGCCACCCUUGGUCUGGCAGCGCAGCACCAUUGCCAUGGACUCAAGGAGGCCUGCCUAGAGUUUCUCAAAGUCCAAUCCCCUGAAGACUUGCGAGGAGUCAUGGCGACCAGCGACUGGGAGCACAUAGCUGCAACCGAUCACUCCGUUCUGAAUGAGCUCAUCGGCAAGCUUGCUUCCAAAGUUUAG
rnacentral:rRNA from 1 species